rnacentral:lncRNA from 1 species
AAAAAAAAAAAAAUAUACAUUUAACAAAAAUAUUUUGUACUAUUUUAAAUUAUUUAUUAAAAAAUUAUUGCAAAAUGAUUGCAAAAUAUUUAUCAUUAAUAAUCAUUUUUAAUAUUUCAUAAUCAUUAAAAUUCAUUCUUUUCCACAAUCAUCAGAAUUUUUUCUCAUUUUUUUUAUAUUAGUCCCAAAUAUAUGUAGGUGAAUCUUUCCAUGAAACCCUAUGUAAAUCAAAUCUACAUACUGUAUGUCAGAACAUAUGUUAUAGACUACUUAUGUGGGUGUAAAAACUUAACAUUAAAAAUAGUUAUAUUAAAAAAUAAGUACAUAAAUUAUGUGGUAAAGCAGUUUCUUACCAUCUUUGAGAAUCUGAAUUCAAUUCUAAGUUCAAUGCCUUUAAUUUUUUUAGGGAGGCUCUGGUCUAGAGUUGAGUCUGGCUCUUUAGCUGAAAUAAACAUAUGCAAGUUUUGAUCUAUGUAAGUUGGGGAUUGUCUGUAUCUUUUAAAUAAGUGAUAUAUAAAUAUCCCCUGCUAUAACAUACAUUGGCUUUCUAGUCUCAAUCUGUAUUAAAUGAAAGUAUGUUAUAUGAAUUUAGGAAUUACAUUAUAAAGACUUAGGCAGUUCCAGAUUAACAGUUGACAUGGAUAUCUAAACCUAAUUAGUAAAUAAUUAAAUACUUCUGAACUGUUUCACAAAAUAUUAUAUUGUUUAUUUUCAUUUUAAAUAUUAUUUAACUUUCAAUGUUAAUAUUUCAUUAGUAUUAUUAUUAUUAUUAUUAUUUCUUUCGACUUAACAGUUACUGUCAUAUAGCAAUAUUG